GUCUAUGGCCCUGCCACCCUGAACAAGCCCGAUCCCGUCUGAUCUCGGAAGCUAAGCAGGGUCGGGCCUGGUUAGUACUUGGAUGGGAGACCACCUAGGAAGAUCAGGUACUGUAGGCA
rnacentral:rRNA from 1 species